rnacentral:lncRNA from 1 species
GGAGAGGAUGGUCCGAUCUCAGUCUGUUUCAAUUUUGAAAAUUUGAAGCAAUUUCCGAGAAAAGUGGGACCCGGCGGCUCACUAUAAUACAAAGAACCAAAAAUGGAGGAUCAAUCGAGUUGAAGAUGGUGCUACUGCUACGUUUUCCAUUACUUCCUCUAUUUUCCAUACAGAGACUUACUUGCCAACCACCGCCAAACUACCAAUUAAUGGGGUUUUCCCUGCCGGUGUGGGCAAAAAUUUUUAGGUAAACGUGUCUAAGCUAGGGCACCUACCACUGUUAUCUCUUUGCUAGACCUCGCUAAGGUCUAAUUUGAGAUUUUAAUCUGAAUGCAGUCAAAUCUAAAUUAGACCAAUUUAAAAAUUGAAUUCAAAUGUGACGAAUGGAUAAUUAAUUUGGUUUUUUUUGUUGAUGGAUAGAUUGAAAGGAAACAAUUAAUGAAAAAGUAGGUCAAAUGACUACUGAACAAUAUUGCCCAUUUUCGUACAAAUGUCCAAGGAGUGCAUUGCAUUGUAACUUUCAACCGACAAAAAUAAGAAAAAAGAAAGGUUGAAGCAAAGAAAAAAAGAAGAUCCAUACCUCGAAGCAAUGGAGAUAAGGAGUUGUGGAGCACCUGACGCUACCCAGAUGAUCAGAGAGGAAAUUGAUACGUGUCAAAAUGGAAAAGAAGAAGGGCUGUGUGACAAUGUCAACUAAUUUAUUGCAUUGGAAGAUGAGAUUUGAGAUUAUUAGUCAUUACAUAGAUAAUAAUGGCAGGAGGGCUGCGUUGAAGAAUGGUUCUUUAGCACAUGGCCAAGUUUUUCUAUAUAUUUUCUCGCAUUUCCUUCCCAUGCCUCCUUUCGAGCUUUUUCUGCUAUGGAACUGCAUCAGCAAUCACUUGCCACCAUGUUUUGGAACAGCCAG